AGAGUUUGAUCCUGGCUCAGAACGAACGCUGGCGGCAGGCUUAACACAUGCAAGUUGAACGGGAUUGUUAAGUAGCUUGCUAUUUAACAAGAGAGUAGCGCACUGGUGAGUAACACGUGGGAACGUACCUUUUGGUGGGGGACAACAUCUGGAAACGGAUGCUAAUACCGCAUAAGACCUGAGGGUGAAAGAUUUAUCGCCGAAAGAACGGCCCGCGGAAGAUUAGGCAGUUGGUGGGGUAAAGGCCUACCAAACCUACGAUCUAUAGCUGGUCUGAGAGGACGAUCAGCCACACUGGAACUGAGACACGGUCCAGACUCCUACGGGAGGCAGCAGUGAGGAAUAUUGGGCAAUGGAGGCAACUCUGACCCAGCCAUGCCGCGUGAGUGAAGAAGGUUUUCGGAUUGUAAAGCUCUUUCGGAUGUGACGAUGAUGACGGUAGCAUCUAAAGAAGCCCCGGCUAACUUCGUGCCAGCAGCCGCGGUAAUACGAAGGGGGCAAGCGUUGUUCGGAAUUACUGGGCGUAAAGGGAGUGUAGGCGGUUAUGUAAGAUAGUGGUGAAAUCCCAGAGCUUAACUUUGGAAUUGCCAUUAUGACUAUGUGGCUAGAAUUACAGAGAGGAUAGUGGAAUACCCAGUGUAGAGGUGAAAUUCGUAGAUAUUGGGUAGAACACCAGUGGCGAAGGCGACUAUCUGGCUGUAUAUUGACGCUGAGGCUCGAAAGCAUGGGGAUCAAACAGGAUUAGAUACCCUGGUAGUCCAUGCUGUAAACGAUGAAUGCUGGUUGUCGGCUUUAGGGUCGGUGACGAAGUUAACGCGAUAAGCAUUCCGCCUGGGGAGUACGGUCGCAAGAUUAAAACUCAAAGGAAUUGACGGGGACCCGCACAAGCGGUGGAGCAUGUGGUUUAAUU
rnacentral:rRNA from 1 species